UAAUCACAAAAGGUGGUGAAUACUUUAUACCAAAUUCUCACAACAAAUCUGCAUGCAUACAUUAUUGCCUGUAGGACAGGCAGCUGUAAAGGACCAUGACCAAUUGAACUGAGAUUUGUACAUUUUAUCAUCACCAGCUACCUGAGCUCUUCAUACGUGAAAAAGUAUCGAAGCAGAUCUUUGACAGUAUUUGGAUGAAAGAAGAGACGGACAGAAGUCGUGGGAGAAUGAAAACUAAAGGUGUUGUGCUUUUUGCUUGUGUCAUCUUCAUGGUUUUCCUUAUAGUUGAAAUCGGGUGUGCUCCAAAGGGUAAAACCAUAGUGAGAAACUGGGGCCCACAAUCAAUUCUAUAUCUUAAAGGACGCUAUGGCAGGAGAUACACCUCUGAAAAGGAUGAACAGUAUUACAAGCUUAACCUGGAGGACUUCAGUGCAUUUUUUAAAAGUAAUUUCUGAAGAAAAGCAUGUAUAACUUGCAGGUGUAUUACCUAUAGCUAUGUCUCUGUUGAUUUCAAUCAUACCAAAAGCAAAACCCUUGAGGAGCCAGAUAUUUCUAACUCCAUGGAAUUUACAUUGCAGAGGUUCUGUUUCCUGGUUUGGUACACUGACUUAAAUUUAGGGAAAAGCAGAUGGAGGUCAGGAUUUUUCUAAGUGCUAAGAAUGAUUCUGUUCCUGCUGCCUUUUACAACUUGAGCUAAGCACACAGCACUUCCAUCUCUCCAAAACCACUGGUAUUCUAAGAAUUCAAAUACAAAAUUAAUUCAAAAACAAAACAAAAAGAAUAGUGGUGGUCUUUCUGUAUAGAGUUGAGAAAAGGCCAGCAGCAUUUUAGUGCACCUUCACAGCCAAAAAGGAAAAAGACUACAGCAGGAAGACACCUGGGAAUAAGAAAAGAGAAAGAUGGAGAGUUUCACUCCAAGAUCUUCCUAGAAUGGUGAUUGUAAAAAUAAUAAUUACCAGAAAAUUAGUGGGAGAAACAAAGCUAUAGGAAGAAUGGGUUUUCCCGGCAACAGUUCAGCCAGCCAUAGAGAAUGAACACACCUUCAGUUUUAGUGAUUCAGAUCACAGUGAUACUGUUGGAAAGUUAAAGGAAAGUAGACAAGAAG
rnacentral:lncRNA from 7 species